CGUGUGCUAGUUCCAAGGUAAGAUUUUUAGAGCCAUGGCAAGUUCCUGCCAGCAUUCUUGAGCUUCUGUUCUACAUGAGAGAACCUGAGACCUGAGGUCCUAGAAUAAAGAUGUGUGGGACGGACCCGAUGCCUACUAAAGCUUGGAGCCCAGCUGCACCCAACUUAACCCAGCCAAAAUCAACUGAACUGUAGCUGACUUACAGAUCUCUUGCAGAAGAAGCUGACACACUUCACCCUGGAGCUGCACAGCACCCAACCUGGGGUCUGGAGAGCCUGGAGGACUUGUAGCAGGGCUGCUGAGGGCCCAGGAGCUGCCCCACCCAACGUGAGCGUCAGCUGCUCCUUGGAGGAUAUUGCCCCAGGCCUGCAAGAUGUUGUCACAAGACUGAUGCCAUAACCAAGCCUUCAAAAGGCCAUUCUGCCAUUUUGUCAGACCAGCUGCUUCAGGGUGAUGGAGAUCAUGACAACACCCAGUACAUGAUGGGCAGCUCAGAAGGCACGGUAACUUGGUGGUCCACGAUCAGGCUUUCCUUACAAGUUUCAGCAGCAGCACAGAAGCCAUGUCUCAGAAGAAGAAGAAUUAUCUCCAGACAGUGGCAUAGCUUUUCUCCAGAAUCUCGAGUCUAUUCUGCGAUUCGCCUAGGGGGCCUGCCUAAGUCUCCAUACAGCAUCGCUAUCUACCUCAGACCCUUCAGGCAUCAUCAGAUCUUCUGCGUCGCACAGCCCAGCUGGCAGAGCAGCUUGCAGGGCAGCGUGCACAUGUUGGGGGCGGAUGAGCAGGUCUUGCAUGAUAAAUCCACUUCAGCAUUCCAGUACCCCUAAGCCUUUGGAUACCUUCCUCUGCAA